rnacentral:rRNA from 1 species
GAUGAACGCUGGCGGCGUGCUUAACACAUGCAAGUCGAACGAUGAAGCCCAGCUUGCUGGGUGGAUUAGUGGCGAACGGGUGAGUAACACGUGAGUAACCUGCCCUUAACUCUGGGAUAAGCCUGGGAAACUGGGUCUAAUACCGGAUAGGAGCGUCCACCGCAUGGUGGGUGUUGGAAAGAUUGAUCGGUUUUGGAUGGACUCGCGGCCUAUCAGCUUGUUGGUGAGGUAAUGGCUCACCAAGGCGACGACGGGUAGCCGGCCUGAGAGGGUGACCGGCCACACUGGGACUGAGACACGGCCCAGACUCCUACGGGAGGCAGCAGUGGGGAAUAUUGCACAAUGGGCGCAAGCCUGAUGCAGCGACGCCGCGUGAGGGAUGACGGCCUUCGGGUUGUAAACCUCUUUCAGUAGGGAAGAAGCGAAAGUGACGGUACCUGCAGAAGAAGCACCGGCUAACUACGUG